GACGAACGCUGGCGGCGUGCUUAACACAUGCAAGUCGAACGGAAAGGCCCUGCUUUUGUGGGGUGCUCGAGUGGCGAACGGGUGAGUAACACGUGAGUAACCUGCCCUUGACUUUGGGAUAACUUCAGAAAACUGGGGCUAAUACCGGAUAGGAGCUCCUGCUGCAUGGUGGGGGUGGGAAAGUUUCGGCGGUUGGGGAUGGACUCGCGGCUUAUCAGCUUGUUGGUGGGGUAGUGGCUUACCAAGGCUUUGACGGGUAGCCGGCCUGAGAGGGUGACCGGCCACAUUGGGACUGAGAUACGGCCCAGACUCCUACGGGAGGCAGCAGUGGGGAAUAUUGCACAAUGGGCGGAAGCCUGAUGCAGCAACGCCGCGUGCGGGAUGACGGCCUUCGGGUUGUAAACCGCUUUCGCCUGUGACGAAGCGUGAGUGACGGUAAUGGGUAAAGAAGCACCGGCUAACUACGUG
rnacentral:rRNA from 1 species